UUUCUCUCUUCUUUUCACCGUAUCUGUGAAGGCAAAGUCUGUAUCAUUUCCUGCUUCAUCUCCAGAACCUGGAACAAUGCAUGGAACAAAAUGGGUGCAUACUCAGCCAACAGUGAACAAAUGAAUGAGUUAAUGAAAAAUGGCCACAUUCAAAGAUCUGAUGCAGCCUUCCCCUACUCUGCACCACGGCAGCUCAGGAAAGAAUGCCAACACCCCAAGAGGAGUGAGCGCAUCAAAGGCAGGUAGAC
rnacentral:lncRNA from 1 species